UUCCAUAACCUUUCUUCCUUUGAACUUUUUCUAUCAUAGAUAGCUAUUCCAGGUACAAUAUUCCCUUCUAGCUAUCUAGUUCCUUCUUGUUUCUCCUCCCAACUUUGUCAACACAGACCCCUGAAAGUAUCUUCUACCAUUGUCAGUUCUUCUCACAGCUGUAACUCCAGCAUCUGACCCCUUUACAGCCCUUUCCUGUUCCAGAGGAAUGACUCAUUGCAAGUGUCUCAUCAACACCAUUGGUUGACCUUAGCAUAACCUUUUAGUGUCUCUUUUUGCUUUGGGAUCCUGAACUCUUCAACUGCUGCUACCACCCUUGCAUUCCUAGGACUCUAGGUUUUCAUAUAUUUUGGCCCUUCACUAUGAGUCAGCUUCUGCUUCUUGAUGAAUAUAAUACUAUUCUCUAGGAUCCCUUUCACUAAAAUUUCUUUUUUUCUCUUUUCUUAUAAUCUCAUCAAUAUAUCUUCCCCUGAUUCUGAAUUUAUGUUGGGUGAGGGGUGAGUUGUAGAUAGUUUUUUGAUUUUGGAUGGAUGAUAACAAAAAAUUCUGUAAUGUGAAUUGGUAGUUGGGUUAGAAAAGGUUUUAUGGGUGUGGUUGGUAGAAGGCAACAAGGUAGAGAAGAAUCAAAUACACCGGAGUGGGUAUUCAAGAAAAAGUGAUAUGGUAGUGAACAGUAGAUGAUUUUCACAGUUAUACCAUGAAUCUUUUACUUUAAUGGACUUUUAACUUUUCUGUCAGUGUUACUUGAUCGACUUGUUAGAAUUACAGCAUAGCACUUUAUAAAAGAAUAUUCAUUGGCUCACCUACUGCUCUGCUACUUUCCAGAUGAUCUCCAGAGUAUAUUUCCAACAAGAUAGAAACUCUGUCAGGAAGGCACAUUAUUAUAAAAUAGGAAUCCAUAGUAUUGUCAGAUAAAAACUAUAAGCUUGCAUAAUUCUGAUGCAGUAUUAUUCAUUUGUUUAUAUAUUCAACAAAUAGUUACUGCUUCUUAGAUUUUUAGGAAUAUAUCACUAAAGCUGCUGACACACAGAAGGAAUCAUUAAACUCUUUCAGACAGAAUUUGCCAUGAGUUUACCAGAAUUAUACUCUUAUCAAACACCAUUAGAUCAAAAUAAAGCUAAAAUCUUUUUUUACUCUGAAGGGUAACAUGAUAAUUCAUGAGUGUAAAAA
rnacentral:lncRNA from 1 species